rnacentral:lncRNA from 1 species
AAAAUUUGUAUAUACGCCAGACGCGCGUUUCGUCUACAAAAGACUCAUCAGUGACGCUCGAAUCGAAAAAAGUUAAAAAGGCCAAAUAAAGUACGAAGUCGAAGAGCAUUGAGGACCAAAAUUCCUAAAAGUUUUGCCAAAUCCAGCUAAGGUAAUCUAUGCCUGAGGUAGAAAAGCCUUAGUAUUUCAAAAAUUCUAAAAUUUUGUAAACAGUUAAUUUAUAAAUAUAACCAUAUCAAUGAUAAU